GCUCCCGUAGCUCAGCUGGAUAGAGCACAGGUUUCCUAAACCUGGGGUCAGCGGUUCAAGUCCGCUCGGGGGCACCA
rnacentral:tRNA from 1 species